GAUGAACGCUGGCGGCGUGCCUAAUACAUGCAAGUCGAGCGAACAGACGAGGAGCUAGCUCCUCUGACGUUAGCGGCGGACGGGUGAGUAACACGUGGAUAACCUACCUAUAAGACUGGGAUAACUUCGGGAAACCGGAGCUAAUACCGGAUAAUAUAUUGAACCGCAUGGUUCAAUAGUGAAAGACGGUUUUGCUGUCACUUAUAGAUGGAUCCGCGCCGCAUUAGCUAGUUGGUAAGGUAACGGCUUACCAAGGCAACGAUGCGUAGCCGACCUGAGAGGGUGAUCGGCCACACUGGAACUGAGACACGGUCCAGACUCUUACGGGAGGCAGCAGUAGGGAAUCUUCCGCAAUGGGCGAAAGCCUGACGGAGCAACGCCGCGUGAGUGAUGAAGGUCUUCGGAUCGUAAAACUCUGUUAUUAGGGAAGAACAAAUGUGUAAGUAACUAUGCACGUCUUGACGGUACCUAAUCAGAAAGCCACGGCUAACUACGUG
rnacentral:rRNA from 1 species